GCUGUAGCUCAGUGGCAGAGUGCUUGCCUAGCAUGUGUGAGGCACUGGGUUCGAUUCUCAGCACUGCA
rnacentral:tRNA from 1 species